AGCAGCCGCGGUAAUUCCAGCUCCAAUAGCGUAUAUUAAAGUUGUUGCAGUUAAAAAGCUCGUAGUUGAAUUUUGGAUUCCACCAAUGGGUCCAUCUUUUGAUGAGCACUGGUUGUGUGGGGUCUAUCCGCCUGGUGAUACGUAAUGUCCUUUAUUGGAUGUUGCGGGUAGUCAGGACCUUUACCUUGAAAAAUUAGAGUGUUUAAAGCAGGCUUAUGCCGGAAUACAUUAGCAUGGAAUAAUAGAAUAGGACGAAGUUGUUUUAUUUUGUUGGUUUCUAGGACAACCGUAAUGAUUAAUAGGG
rnacentral:rRNA from 1 species